AGCGCGAGCGCACGCUGUGUGUGUGAACACCGUCUGAUCCUGAGCCGGGCUUUUACCCCUCCCCUCCAUCAACUGCCUCUGGGGUAGACGUGAGAUGCAGAGGGACGGAGUCACCGAAAUGACCAGAGUGUUUUUUUGUUUUUUUGUCUAACACGCACGCUCGGGAAUAACCCCGUAGCAACGUUUGAAAAGAGGUUCUUAUCGGUUGUUACCAGAGAACUUCCACCGCUGGCGGUCUUUUUCCUGCUGUUUCAUGUGGAUCACUGACCCGCUGUGUCAGGAAACUGCAACGGGGAAACCACGCCAAUCCCAGGCUCUGGAGAGACGAUUAUAACGGCGUACCUGAUCUCUUCUACACCAUCUUUACCAACCGUGAGGGAGACGGCCUUCUAAAUCCUGACAACGAGAUUCAUCUCUUUACUCUAUACGGCUGCUUUGUUCCCCACGUGCAGAAACCCCCACUUGAACAAUCCUGCUUAAGAAUGAGGGACGGUCCGGAGGGAUGGUUGCUGACCGAUGCCCUGAAUGUGCUCUGGCAUCGAAUCUCGCCGGUGCAGAAGUACAGCUGCGCCCACGGACCCGUACAAGCACAGUGCCAUGAGAGGCAGCUGCUUCACUUGGACACUUUAUCUUGCAUUGAGUCUUUUAAAAAAAACAAUAAACUACUUUCAGAAGAUAAUAUUACCGGCAACAGUAAUCUUCUUCUUCCCAUUCAAUGGUCAGGGAGAACAUGUAGAUUUAAAUGCUUGCUGUCCAGUGCUGCUUAUGAUCGGUCACAAGUUCAACACAAGGGGGGGCCGCUGUGCACAUUACCAGUAGCAAACCUCCUCUCUCCUGCACCAAAACUUCAUCAAGUCAACCUACUUUAAAAUACAGGUACAGUGGGGCAUUUUGCAUUGAAACAGCAGGUAUUGCAUCAGUACAGUUAUUAGUACGGUGCAGCAGGAAACCCUGUGUGCUGUGUAGGAACAAGCUAAAGACAUAUAGUGUUGUAGAGGUAACUGAUGAAAAGGUCUUUCUUGGUUUAUUUGAUGGAUUGUGCAUAUUGCUGCUAGUUAACAUGCCGGGCUGUUGUUUGCUGCGUGUUGUGCAAUGUUGUGAGCUAAUGGGGAAAAACAUGAAUGUAAGCUUUGUUUUUUGGCCUGCUGCUCAGAAAAAAUAACUACAAAACGUUUUCCCUAUUACUUUGUAGCAUUAUCUUAGUUUAGACUUUGUCAUUACUAACAUCCGUUGCAAUGCACUCAUAGACUGACGGACGGAAGAGUGACCGACAUAUUUCCUCGUUGUUUAAAAAGUUCCAAAAGCAUUUCCGACAGCGUGAGUCACCGCUAAGGAACAAAAUCACGCAGUGAAAUGAAGCAGGGCUGGUGUGUGAAGAUGGAAGAGUACUUUCAAGAUCAUUUGGAAUACACACUGAAUUCAUAGAUAAUGCAUGAUUCCAAAAAUACACAGUCACUUGAGUGCAGUACACUUAUGCAACUGUCUCGUUGCAGUACAUUUAAAUGUGAUACUAAAUACUAACACAAGAACAAGAUUAUGCACUAGAUUUUUAUUUACAUCCAAUUACUGCUGUUACACUCUCUUUUUGUUACUCGUUACCGUAAGUAAGGUAACUUCUUCUUAUUUGC